rnacentral:rRNA from 1 species
UGAUGCGGUCAUACCAAGGCUACUACACCAGAUCCCAUCAGAACUCUGAAGUUAAGCGCCUCUAAGUCAGAAUCCAGUACUGGGAUGGGUAAUCACUAGUGAAUU